CCUACGGGUGGCAGCAGUGGGGAAUAUUGGGCAAUGGUCGCAAGCCUGACCCAGCAACGCCGCGUGAAGGAAUAAGGCUUUCGGGUUGUAAACUUCUUUUGUCAGGGAAGAGUAGAAGACGGUACCUGACGAAUAAGCCACGGCUAACUACGUGCCAGCAGCCGCGGUAAUACGUAGGUGGCAAGCGUUGUCCGGAUUUACUGGUUGUAAAGGGCGUGUAGCCGGGUUGACAAGUCAGAUGUGAAAUCCUGCGGCUUAACCGCAGAACUGCAUUUGAAACUGUUGAUCUUGAGUACUGGAGAGGCAGAUGGAAUUCGUAGUGUAGCGGUGAAAUGCGUAGAUAUUAGGAGGAACACCAGUGGCGAAGGCGGUCUGCUGGACAGCAACUGACGGUGAGGCGCGAAAGCGUGGGGAGCAAACAGGAUUAGAGACCCGGGUAGUC
rnacentral:rRNA from 1 species